UGCAUUAGACCAGGGGCUCAUCUCCUGUUUCCAAAAUCAUCACAAACUGCUUGAGAAAGCUGUAAACUAACUCCACAUUGCACAAAGUGCAAACAACACAAAGGGUUUAGCCCUAAACCCCAAGGUUUCAGGGAAGGGAGACAGACGUCUGCGGGACUUGAUUUUGAAAUUCCAUUCAUAUUGAAAAAAAAAAAAGGACGCGUUCCAGGUAAAGUCGAGGAUUGCAGGGGAGGGGGGGGUUGGGGGUGUCUCGAAAAAGACAAGUUUUUCUAGUCAGAGUGAACACCACCAAAAUCACGCAGAAGAGCAGAGGACAAGGACUGUCUCAGACUGAUCCAGAUGUUUGCUUUUACUGGUGGAGAGGGGACAUUGAAAAAUUUCACUGUGCACAUUUGAUCAACCAAAACGGCGGCUGGACCAGAGAAAGCUGAGGCAGACUGACAACAGAGACUUUCACAGCAGACGCUGGAGAAGAAGGGGGGAGUCGGGAGCAAAGUCCACCAAGGCCACGCAGCACAAACAGAUAAGUCUGAAAACACACACACUUUCUCUAAAGCUCACUGCAAUGAAGGAAGUAUGCUUGCUUUAAUACAUGAUCACAUUGGAAGAUUAGAAAAUGAUAAAUCUUCUCUCGACAAGAACAUAGGCACAUAAAUUAAUUUAUAAACAAAUGCCACAUAGAUUAUGGGUUAAUGGAGUUGAAAGGGCUGGCAACUCAGUAAUUAGAAAGGAUGAAAUAGAUCCAAUUCCAAAAUUAAGUGGAAAUUUAGUUUGGUCUACGACUGCAUCUGGUUAUACGGUCAGAGAAUAUUUCACUGUACCUUUGAGAUGUAAAGAUUAGAAUGGCAUGAACUUUAAGCAUUGUUUACUACUGUCAGAAAACUGCCUUCAAAAUUUGCAAGAAAGAGAUUUAACGCCAAAUUCAAACUUUAGCCACAAUCCAACAAUGGCAGUUGUGUGUUUACCAGUGUAAACGGAGAGAUGAUGAAUUAUGUGAAAAGCUUGUCAAGGCUGCAAAAGACAGUUUCACCUUAUUCUGAAUUAUGCCAUUCUCUGAUUUACAUUGCUCAGCACAUACAUCAUUGGGAAAAGAUUACAUUUUAGAACAAAAAUGGUUUCAUGUAUAGAAACAACAGACCUGAAAUGGUUAAUCGAGACAUAAAAUAGAUGCGCUGUUUCUGUUGAUUUGAGAAAUGAACAGCAAAUGUUGUUUGAUUCUCUUCCACAUGUUUCAUUGUCCAAAAAGAAAAAUGAACAUAGGAAAGACAUUGGUUUAUUUGUAAAAAUAUUUUUUUUUUGUAUGUAAAUUGGGUGGAGACAGCAGAAGAAAAGGUUGAAUGCAAUCCAACACUGUCAUUUGUCAACGGCCAGGUGGCUCAGGUACAAUGCAAUUCUAUUAGAAAUGCCAUCACAAUUAAAAGAUGCACAGUGUUAAAUCCAGCUACACUGGUCUUUACGAAGCAGGAUGGGGAAGAACAUGAUUGUUUUGCUACAUUUGAACAGGUCUGUCAACCAAGACCAGAUUUUAAAAGAAACGCCCUUAGAAAAUGCAGACUUAAUUCUAUUCAUUGAUGGUUCAGAAUCUAGAGACCCAAAUAAUUGGCAAAAACAGAACAAGUUAAGCUGUAACCACUGCAUAUGCAACAAUAAGAUCUGGAGCGCUCCCCGCGCAUUGCUCUGCGCAAGCGGCUGAGUUUGUAGCAUUGACAGAGGCAAGCAAAAUCGCUGAUAGACAAACAGUUACCAUUUUUACAAAUUCUUGUUAUUAUUUUGGGGUUUAUCAUGAUUUUAGGGCAUUGUGGAAGUCUGAAGGUAAGCCUGAUUUAACCAUGAUAAAAAAGUUAGUUGCUAUCUACAAAUGCGUCACACAUUCCAAAAGUUAUGAUUUUGUGAUUUUAGGAAACAAGUAAGCUGAUACCACAGUGAAGGACACAGCUGUGAGAACAGAACUUUCUUUUACCUGUGUAACAUUUAACAUUUCACUCCCUUCUGAUUAUCUUACAGCUAUGCAAGCUUUUGCCACAGCAGAGGACAAGAAACAACGGGUGAAGGCCGAGUGCAAACUGAAAACAGGCCGAGUACUGAAGACAGACCAUGUCUGCCAAAACACUUUUUCCCACACUAUGUGCAAAAUGAAAAUAUCAGUCAGGUGUGACAUUAAAGAACAAAUUAAUGAAGUGUUGUGAGCAAACAGGACUGUCUCGGGCCAACCUCCGGUGGAGUAAGACCAGAAGCACAACCACUGUCCUCUACAGCCUUGUGUGAAGAUGACAUGCUGAAGUGUAGUAGAAAGUUGUCUCUUGCUCUCUCUCAGAUAUCUCAGCAGGUCAAGGACGCUCUGCCCAAGCCAGCGGAAGGAGUCUUGCAUGAUAUCAGGCCUUGCUGAUAACACACAUAACUGAGGUGAAAGUGAGAGAGAGAGAGCUACGUGGGUACACGCAAGUCACUGCAGGAAGGUUCGAGCGCCACCAGAGGUUAUAUGUUAGGAAUGACUUUGUUCCAUAAAAAAAACAACGCAGAUGCUUUUUUUUCACCCUUAUGAGAGUAAUGGUGUUUAAAAUCCUGAAUUUACAAGAUUGAUGUAAACUAUAAGGGUAGUGUGUUCACAAAUUUAUCUGCAUUUAAUCAAUAUAAGUGAUCAAUAAUGAUCAAAAGGGAGGAGUGUUAUGGAAAUGUUUAGUUUUGUUGAUUUGGCAUUGAUUGCAUUCAUCUCAUUCAAUUAUCUUUUUAAACAUACAGUGAAUAAGGUAGUAUAUAUACUCCAUAGGGACAUUGAGUUAUUUUAUGUAACUUGUGCACGUAACUGCUUUAGGUUGAAAAACAACAUUUGAGGGGAAACUGUGUAGCAGAGACGGACAGUUUUUGAGAGUUACCAGGCAUCUACGAUGAGAUGUGCAUGUGUUAUGAUGUGAUGUGCACGGAGCAACAUGAUUGGCUCAGAGGUCCAAAACUAUUCUUCAAUGUAUCUUUUUACAUACUAUAAAAAGUGGGCUGUUAUCUGUUGACUCAGAAGCUGUGUGUAAACCAGAUCAUUCUCUGCAUAGAAUUAAAGCAAUACAAAGAC